AGCGAGUUAGCUCUUGUUAUUGCACCACGCAUUUCCUGAAAGCCUGUGUCCCACCGACGCCCAGGGGGUGAGAGAGGGGGAGAGACACGAUAUCGACCGUGUCUUUGUCCCGCGCUUCGGGGAGGCGAUCAGUUGGGAUCACGAGAGGAGCCGCGUUACCACGGAGACUCAGGAGCACGGGAGCAGAACUUCUGACAGGCUCUUUCUUUCCGCCUGCCCGCCGCCGUCGGCGCUGUAUGUAGACCUGUAGACCUACGCACGGUGACACCAGAAUCUCCGGCGGCCCGAUUCUAACGACACGAUUCUGACGGAGGCGGAUCGGUGACAUCAUCUAACCGAAAAGACGGUUUUGGGGUGAAACACAACUCAGCUUAUUCGUAACCCGAAUUGUAGAAUAUUGGCUCCGCUUGAUCUGCAGUCGCAAACAUUUUAAGAACGUCUUUAUCCCUCAGAUUAUUUUUUUAGUUUCCAGUUUGCCAGAGUCAGUCUCCAUUUAUAGUGUUUCAGUGUUUAUCACGAGGCAGUGUGGUGCAGUCAUUGCCCAGAUUAGUUGAAUAGCCUACUUAUUAAUCACUUCAGCUGAUAUGGACAAUGACCCGCCAGGCAUAUUCGCAGUGCAGUUGUUCAAUCCAGACUGGAAUAGUAGAGUUGGCGAAAAGCAUUAUGGGGUUUAUAUGACAUUUUAAUUUACUGGAAUUCAGUUAUUGAAAAGUCAAGAAAUAUUUCCGUCAGUAGCUCUAAGUAGCUAUUAAAAAUAGCUCAUUUGGCAAGCAAAAAUAAAUAAAUAAUUUAAAUUAUUACUGCAAUGGAGGUCAGGGAGAACACAUACAGCUACAAAUCUGCAUAUGAAUUAUGAAUGAAAUGUUAUUUUUCUAUUGUAAACAUAAAAAAUAAAAAUUUUCAAAAGUAGGCCUGAAGAGGACACUGAAAUGUUGGCCAGCAACAGCAAAGUAUGUACUCUAGCGCCCUCUGGUGAUAUUAUUUAAUUCAUUUAAAAGUACAAGAGAUACUGGAUUGUUUUUACUGUACAGGUAGGCCUGUGCACCUAUUCUUACCUGUAGAUGAGAAUUCUUAGUAAAUUAAGCCUUUUUUUUAUGUCACACUAGUGAUAUUUAAAUGUAUGUCACACUAAUUAUGAAACCAUACAUUUCAUAAUUAUGCACACACACAAACAUACCGAGUCUUGGGCUGUCCUGCUGUUCCCAUGGAAACAUACUAAGCUGAGUGAAGUGAGGGAGAGUUCCAGUGCACAUUAAAAUAAGUCAACCCAACAUUCAGUGGCUUUGAGGUUUGAUAUAUUUGUCCUUUUAUACAAGAACGCAUACAAAUGGUUACACAUAUUUUCUAAAAGCUGGGAAAGAACACUGUGAAAAAUUUAAGGCAAGGUCAUCAGCAAUGAAUGAUCGCUGCUUUGAUGAUUAACUGAAUGCAAAUAAAAUUCUGAACACAACAUAUUAGGAAUGUGAAGUACACUUCUGAUUGAGCUCAUCUGCUAAACACUCAUGACCACGGGUGUCCCACUGAGAGGCGUAGUGGAGCUGACUAUCCAGGGCCUCAAGGCGUGGCUGUUUGCUUUGGUCUAAAAUUUUAAGGGGGCCCACAGAGACUGCAUAUGCACAGGGCCCAGAAUUUCGUGGUACACCCCUGCUCAUGACUGUACACGUGUCUCCUAGGAUACCUACAUUUGCUUGUUUAACUCUUACCCACCACCACAAUAACAAAUAACAGAAAAUAUCCAUACACAAGCAUAGAUACUGUAAAUGC